rnacentral:lncRNA from 1 species
GGUUAGAAACGGUAGUUUUUAGCAUGUGUCGAGGAAGAUUUGAGAAUGUGGGUCAUCAAGUGAUCGUUGGAAUUGAACUAUCAAGUGAUAAGUUGGAAUAAGAUACGAUAUGAAUAAGUGAUGUAACACGGUUAAGUGAUUCAUGAGGGAAUCAAAGGUUUAUGGGAAUUAUGGAGUUGUGGAAGUAUUCCACGGGAGUAUCUUUCGGAGAGUUCGAUUGGUUGUACCUGUUUUAGGGUAGAGUUGUGUGUACCGUAGAAUGUGAGUCUAUGGAUGUUUCGUGCGGAGUGGACGUUUUAGCGGUUUG